AUUGAACGCUGGCGGCAGGCCUAACACAUGCAAGUCGAACGAGUGGCGGACGGGUGAGUAAUGUCUGGGAAACUGCCCGAUGGAGGGGGAUAACUACUGGAAACGGUAGCCAAUACCGCAUACCAUUGGAUGUGCCCAGAGGGGAUUAGCGAGUAGGUGGGGUAACGGCUCACCUAGGCUACGAUCCCUAGCUGGUCUGAGCGGAUGACCAGCCAAACUGGAACUGAGACACGGUCCAGACUCCGACGUGCGGCAGCAGUGGGGAAUAUUGCAAAAUGGGCGAAAGCCUGAUGCAGCCAUGCCGCGUGGAUGAAGAAGGCCUUCGGGUUGUAAAGUACUUUCAGCGGGGAGGCGUUACCCGCAGAAGAAGCACCGGCUAACUCCGUGCCAGCAGCCGCGGUAAUUC
rnacentral:rRNA from 1 species